rnacentral:rRNA from 1 species
CCUACGGGGUGCAGCAGUGAGGAAUAUUGGUCAAUGGACGCAAGUCUGAACCAGCCAUGCCGCGUGCAGGAUGACGGCUCUAUGAGUUGUAAACUGCUUUUGUACGAGGGUAAACCCCGAUACGUGUAUCGGGUUGAAAGUAUCGUACGAAUAAGGAUCGGCUAACUCCGUGCCAGCAGCCGCGGUAAUACGGAGGAUCCGAGCGUUAUCCGGAUUUAUUGGGUUUAAAGGGUGCGUAGGCGGUUUGAUGAGUUAGAGGUGAAAUGUCGGGGCUCAACCCCGAAACUGCCUCUAAUACUGUUAGACUAGAGAAUAGUUGCGGUAGGCGGAAUGUAUGGUGUAGCGGUGAAAUGCUUAGAGAUCAUACAGAACACCGAUUGCGAAGGCAGCGUACCAAACUAUAUCUGACGUUGAGGCACGAAAGCGUGGGUAGCAAACAGGAUUAGAUACCCUUGUAGUC